rnacentral:rRNA from 1 species
UUGCGGUUAAAAGCUCGUAGUUGGAUCUCGGCGAACAGGGGGCGGUUCGUUAUUUGACGGUACUGCCCCAUUUGUUCGUAUUUUUGCAAGAGGAUUGGGGGUCCCCUUUGUUGGGUGUCUCCGGUCGCUUGCAGGUUUACUUUGNAAAAAAAAAUUAGAGUGCUCAAAGCAGGCUUACACGCUUGAAUAUUCGUGCAUGGAAUAAUAGAAUAGGAAGUCGGUUUCUAAUUUUGGUUGGGUUUUCGGGAAAAUGACUUAAUGAUUAAUAGGGACAAUCGGGGGCAUUAGUAUUCAAACGACAGAGGUGAAAUUCUUGGACCGUUUGAAGACUAACUACUGCGAAAGCAUUUGCCAAGAGUGUUUUCAUUAAUCAAGAACGAAAGUUAGAGGUUCGAAGGCGAUCAGAUACCGCCCUGGUUCUAACCAUAAACGAUGCCAGCUAGCGAUCUGCGGGUGUGUAAAAAC